GCUGGGCACAGUGCCUAUAGUCCCAGCUACUCGGGAGGCUGAGGUGGGAGGAUUGCUUGAAUCCAGGAGUUCUGGGCUGUAGUGUGCUAUGCUGAUCAGGUGUCCACACUAAGUUUGGCAUCAAUAUGGUGACCUCCCGGGAUCAGGGGACCACCAGGUUGCCUAAGGAGGGGUGAACCGGCCCAGGUCAGAAAUGGAGCAAGUCAAAACUCCCGUGCUGAUCAGUAGUGGAAUCGCGCCUGUGAAUAGCCACUGCACUCCAGCCUGGGUAACACAGCAAAAUCCUGUCUCU
rnacentral:SRP_RNA from 1 species